UAGGUGAACCUGCGGAGGGAUCAUUGAAACCGAUCAAACCAUCCCCAGCGAACCAGCGGGCCCCGCCGGCGAGAGCCGGAGGGGGCGCGCCGUCUGCGUCCUGUCCCCGGUGCGCGCUCCGCGCGUACCCCCCGGGCAGGGCACCUUUUUUACACCCCUGAACACCCCUGCCCUGAAGCAGCUUCGCACGGGGACACCCCUGCGACGUAACCGAGACAACUCUCAACAACGGAUAUCUUGGCUCUCGCAACGAUGAAGAACGCAGGGAAAUGCGAUACGUAGUGUGAAUUGCAGAAUUCCGUGAAUCAUCGAAUCUUUGAACGCACAUUGCCGGUCGAGACCCCGGUCGAGACCACACCUGCCUCAGCGUCGGAAUAAACCCUCACUCGCCCCCGCCCGCGGGGGAAAAUGGACCUGGCCCCCCCGGCGCCCCCGUGGCGCCGGGCUGGCUGAAGAGCAGCGGCUCGCGCACGGACCCGUUGGGGCCCCGACUAGGUAGGUAGCUCGCUACUGCUAGCCGGCGGCCGGGCCCGCGGCGCUCUGGGCCCGCAGGAACCCCCACUAUUCAAUCGAC
rnacentral:rRNA from 1 species